GACGAACGCUGGCGGCGUGCUUAACACAUGCAAGUCGAACGGAAAGGCCCUGCUUUUGUGGGGUGCUCGAGUGGCGAACGGGUGAGUAACACGUGAGUAACCUGCCCUUGACUUUGGGAUAACUUCAGGAAACUGGGGCUAAUACCGGAUAGGAGCUCCUGCUGCAUGGUGGGGGUUGGAAAGUUUCGGCGGUUGGGGAUGGACUCGCGGGUUAUCAGCUUGUUGGUGGGGUAGUGGCUUACCAAGGCUUUGACGGGUAGCCGGCCUGAGAGGGUGACCGGCCACAUUGGGACUGAGAUACGGCCCAGACUCCUACGGGAGGCAGCAGUGGGGAAUAUUGCACAAUGGGCGGAAGCCUGAUGCAGCAACGCCGCGUGCGGGAUGACGGCCUUCGGGUUGUAAACCGCUUUCGCCUGUGACGAAGCGUGAGUGACGGUAAUGGGUAAAGAAGCAUCGGCUAACUACGUG
rnacentral:rRNA from 1 species